UACGUAGGGUGCAAGCGUUAUCCGGAUUCACUGGGUUUAAAGGGUGCGUAGGCGGACACUUAAGUCCGUGGUGAAAUCUCUGGGCUUAACCCAGAAACUGCCAUGGAUACUAUUUGUCUUGAAUGUUGUGGAGGUUAGCGGAAUAUGUCAUGUAGCGGUGAAAUGCAUAGAUAUGACAUAGAACACCAAUUGCGAAGGCAGCUGGCUACACAAAUAUUGACGCUGAGGCACGAAAGCGUGGGGAUCAAACAGG
rnacentral:rRNA from 1 species